UACAGAGGGUGCGAGCGUUAAUCGGAAUUACUGGGCGUAAAGGGUGCGUAGGUGGUUUGUUAAGUUAGAUGUGAAAUUCCUGGGCUUAACCUGGGGACUGCGUCUGAUACUGAUAGACUAGAGUACUGUAGAGGAAAGUGGAAUUUCCGGUGUAGCGGUGAAAUGCGUAGAUAUCGGAAGGAACAUCAGUGGCGAAGGCGACUUUCUGGACAGAUACUGACACUGAGGCACGAAAGCAUGGGGAGCAAACAGG
rnacentral:rRNA from 1 species